UAGAAAGGGGGGCGAUGGGGGAGGUCGCCCCCCCUAACACACUGCAGCUUUCAGUGUGAUGAGAUGAGAUAUAGACAGUGUCUCAGCAAUCCCGCUCCCUCCUCCCAGCUUGUGUACUCCCUGCUGAGCAGAGGCUGCAGAGCUCUCACACGCAGCGUCUCUCCUCCUUCCCAAUCACUCCUUUGGCUCAUAGGGCAGGCAAUAAAGAUAAGUUUGUUGACUGUGGAGUGGGAUUCUCACCCCAGUGUCUCCACACAGAUGAUCAAAGGAGAUCCGUCCGGGAACUGGCUGCUUGUUGGAGGCGUGGCUAAAGUUACUUGACAGGCUAGUCGACAAAUGAAAAACACUAUAGUGUUGGGUGGGCUGAACAUGUCUGUGUACAGUGUACACAGGAAGUGGAAGCAGGAAGGAGCUGUGCGUUCCAUUUCUACUUUGAUUCAACUUACCUUGGCUGCAGUGUGAGACCAGCCUGAUGCUGCUGCCAGAGGGACAACGGCCAGCCUGCUGCUGUGGCCAGAGGACAAGGAUCAACCUACUGCCUGCCAGCCAGAGACCUACCAGCAAUCUGCAACUUAGUGAAGAAAGUGUAAUCUGCUUGUUAUCUGUCAAAAUUAUACAAGCCGCACACAUCCCAUGGGCAGACUGGAUGAGCAAUGCCGAUUGUUAUGCGUGUCUGUGGCUUCCAACCUGCACCAAUAAAGUCUUACAGACAAAGACCAUAUCAAACACCAGUGAUCCUGUAUGGAACGAAACCUUUAAUUUCACUAUUUGCAGUUAUGUCAAGACCACAUAAGCAUGGGAAGUUUCUGACGAAUGGUGUGGUUGUGUCCAGAGAGAUGUCCUGUCUUCAAGUAUCUAUAAACAUGGAGAGGAUACCCGAGAACAUACAAGGCAGACAACUUAUAUUGUCCGCGGAAGAUUCUUGUGAAAGGAUGUUCAAAGUAGAUCUAAGUCCCGCCACAGGUUCUGAUUGCAUACAUUCCUGCUUAUUUCAUUGCAUCAGAAACUGGAACCCGGAGCUCAUAGUCCGCUUGGAGGUACAAGGGUUGGAAGUGUAUUUAGUAAUUUGUUGACAAACAUGCUGUAAUACGAUGCAAUCUGUUCCAUUAGUGUAAUCACACCAGGACAAGCCAGAACAUAGCCCUGGUACUUUUUUUGGCUAUCAGAGUGCAGUCAAAGUGAAACAAUAAAAGAGAAGCUCAUAUUGUUUUAUUG